CCUACGGGCGGCAGCAGUGGGGAAUAUUGGACAAUGGGCGAAAGCCUGAUCCAGCCAUGCCGCGUGUGUGAAGAAGGCCUUCGGGUUGUAAAGCACUUUCAGUGGGGAAGAAAGCCUUGGGGCUAAUACCCUCGAGGAAGGACAUCACCCACAGAAGAAGCACCGGCUAACUCCGUGCCAGCAGCCGCGGUAAUACGGAGGGUGCGAGCGUUAAUCGGAAUUACUGGGCGUAAAGCGCGCGUAGGCGGUCUGAUAAGCCGGUUGUGAAAGCCCCGGGCUCAACCUGGGAACGGCAUCCGGAACUGUCAGGCUAGAGUGCAGGAGAGGAAGGUAGAAUUCCCGGUGUAGCGGUGAAAUGCGUAGAGAUCGGGAGGAAUACCAGUGGCGAAGGCGGCCUUCUGGACUGACACUGACGCUGAGGUGCGAAAGCGUGGGUAGCAAACAGGACUAGAUACCCUAGUAGUC
rnacentral:rRNA from 1 species